rnacentral:rRNA from 1 species
GAUGAACGCUGGCGGCGUGCCUAAUACAUGCAAGUCGAGCGAAUGGAUUAAGAGCUUGCUCUUAUGAAGUUAGCGGCGGACGGGUGAGUAACACGUGGGUAACCUGCCCAUAAGACUGGGAUAACUCCGGGAAACCGGUGCUAAUACCGGAUAACAUUUUGAACCGCAUGGUUCGAAAUUGAAAGGCGGCUGCGUCUGUCGCUUAUGGAUGGACCCGCGUAGCAUUAGCUAGUUGGGGAGGUAACGGCUCACCAAGGCAACGAUGCGUAGCCGACCUGAGAGGGUGAUCGGCCACACUGGGACUGAGACACGGCCCAGACUCCUACGGGAGGCAGCAGUAGGGAAUCUUCCGCAAUGGACGAAAGUCUGACGGAGCAACGCCGCGUGAGUGAUGAAGGCUUUCGGGUCGUAAAACUCUGUUGUUAGGGAAGAACAGGUGCUAGUUGAAUAAGCUGGCACCUUGACGGUACCUAACCAGAAAGCCACGGCUAACUACGUGCCAGCCGCCGCAGUAA